rnacentral:lncRNA from 1 species
CCAAUUAGGCCAGUGUUGGCCUGAGCUGGUAUUUGGCUUGGCUAAUCUGGUCACACAAACCGGCAAUCAGGCCUCCAGGGAAAACCGAUGACAAAUAGGUGUAAUGACAUGGGCAAAUAUGCAUGGCUAUAAACAUUUGUGUCAAUGACAGAUGGAGUCUUGCUUAAAUAAAGCCAUGUGUCAGGGGUUCCUCCAUCACUCUGGGCUGACAACUCUUGUAACUGCACCUGUCUGUACCUGUCCACAGUUUGACACCAUGGCCAUGAUUGUCAGCUUAUUGCACAUUGUCCUGGUGACAGCAGUUGUCCUCCAGGUGGCAGUCUCGCACCCACAUCUGAACCGAAUGGAAGAAGAGGUGGAUAUUGAUAGAAGAAUCAGCCAGCCAGAUAACAGUCUGCUGAUGGAGGACGCAAUAAACACCCUCUCUGAGAGGAGGCAAGGGCUUCCCCAGAGCUCACCUUUCCACGGCAGCCAGCAGAGUGACAUCGAGUUCUCCAACCGCUACGUCAGGCAGCUGGGCGACAUCGAGUUCUCCAACCGCUACGCAGAGUACCUGAGGUCAAAGGCCAAGAUCACCUCCAUCUGCGGCUUCCUGCGCCGCAUGCAGAACUCCAAGAAAAGUGGUUUGGGUGGAGACACAGAGAGAGUGAACGCCCUGCUGAAGCAGUACAUGUGCCCUGCUGUGUACCAGUGACCAGUGGCCAGAAACCAGAGGCCUGCUGGGAUACUGGAGGAACAGCUAGAGGGAGGAGCUCAGCUCAGGACGCCUCAGAUCACACUGCCAUCCCACACCAAGACAGAUACCCUUAAAGGGCAGCCAGGCCCUCAGCAGGAAGUUGUGUCGUGCCUUCACUCAACAUGUUUCAUAUCUGUCCCAUUUUCCUGUUCGACUGUCUAUACCCUGUGUUAAAAGCCCCUGUUUUUUACUUGAAUAAAGUUGAUCUCAUUGUAUAAUACCUGUGUGUG